UCUCCCCUUUUAAAUUGAAAAUCCAAAAUAGGCAUUGUUGAUUGGUGCCCAAAAUUAGUUUAUGUGCCUAAAAUUGAGACACAGGUCAUGGUUCUAUCACAAUAAAUGUUUACAGGAGUGACAAUGAGACCUGUAACAUUU
rfam:Cavia porcellus supercont2_14 genomic scaffold, whole genome shotgun sequence.